CCUACGGGGUGCAGCAGUGGGGAAUAUUGGACAAUGGGCGAAAGCCUGAUCCAGCCAUGCCGCGUGUGUGAAGAAGGCCUUCGGGUUGUAAAGCACUUUCAGUGGGGACGAAAGCCUUGGGGCUAAUACCCUCGAGGAAGGACAUCACCCACAGAAGAAGCACCGGCUAACUCCGUGCCAGCAGCCGCGGUAAUACGGAGGGUGCGAGCGUUAAUCGGAAUUACUGGGCGUAAAGCGCGCGUAGGCGGUCUGAUAAGCCGGUUGUGAAAGCCCCGGGCUCAACCUGGGAACGGCAUCCGGAACUGUCAGGCUAGAGUGCAGGAGAGGAAGGUAGAAUUCCCGGUGUAGCGGUGAAAUGCGUAGAGAUCGGGAGGAAUACCAGUGGCGAAGGCGGCCUUCUGGACUGACACUGACGCUGAGGUGCGAAAGCGUGGGUAGCAAACAGGAUUAGAUACCCGAGUAGUC
rnacentral:rRNA from 1 species